AACGAACGCUGGCGGCGUGCCUAACACAUGCAAGUCGUGCGAGAAAGGGGUAGCAAUACCCCGAGUAAAGCGGCGCACGGGUGAGUAACACGUAGGUAACCUACCUCUAAGACCGGGAUAACCCGUCGAAAGAUGGGCUAAUACCAGAUAAGACCACGCUCCCCUCGGGGACAGGGAUCAAAGGUGGCCUCUGCAUGCAAGCUAUCACUUAGAGAUGGGCCUGCGCACCAUUAGCUAGUUGGUAGGGUAACGGCCUACCAAGGCAAAGAUGGUUAGCUGGUCUGAGAGGAUGACCAGCCACACUGGAACUGAGACACGGUCCAGACUCCUACGGGAGGCAGCAGUGGGGAAUCUUGCGCAAUGGGCGAAAGCCUGACGCAGCAACGCCGCGUGGGUGAUGAAGGCCUUCGGGUCGUAAAGCCCUGUCGGAAGGAACGAAUGUUUCCGCCGUGAACAACGGCGGAGAGUGACGGUACCUUCAAAGGAAGCACCGGCUAACUCCGUGCCAGCCGCCGCAGUAA
rnacentral:rRNA from 1 species